GUGGAACCAGGUUCUGCGGCUCAGACCCAGGUUCUGAGGUUCUGCGGCUCAGACCCAGGUUCUGAGGUUCUGCGGCUCAGACCCAGGUUCUGAGGUUCUGCGGCUCAGACCCAGGUUCUGAGGUUCAGACCCAGGUUCUGGGGUUCUGCGGCUCAGACCCAGGUUCUGAGGUUCUGAGGCUCAGACCCAGGUUCUGAGGUUCUGAGGCUCAGACCCAGGUUCUGCGGCUCAGACCCAGGUUCUGCGGCUCAGACCCAGGUUCUGAGGUUCUGCGGCUCAGACCCAGGUUCUGGGGCUCAGACCCAGGUUCUGAGGUUCUGACCCAGGUUCUGAGGCUCAGACCCAGGUUCUGAGGUUCUGAGGCUCAGACCCAGGUUCUGCGGCUCAGACCCAGGUUCUGCGGCUCAGACCCAGGUUCUGAGGUUCUGCGGCUCAGACCCAGGUUCUGGGGCUCAGACCCAGGUUCUGAGGUUCUGACC